rnacentral:rRNA from 1 species
UUACCAGCACGUUAUGGUGGGCACUCUAAGGAGACUGCCGGUGACAAACCGAGGAAGGUGGGGAUGACGUCAAGUCAUCAUGGCCCUUACGGCCUGGGCUACACACGUGCUACAAUGGUCGGUACAAAGGGUUGCCAAGCCGCGAGGUGGAGCUAAUCCCAUAAAACCGAUCGUAGUCCGGAUCGCAGUCUGCAACUCGACUGCGUGAAGUCGGAAUCGCUAGUAAUCGUGAAUCAGAAUGUCACGGUGAAUACGUUCCCGGGCCUU